GAUGAACGCUGGCGGCGUGCCUAAUACAUGCAAGUCGAGCGAACGGACGAGAAGCUUGCUUCUCUGAUGUUAGCGGCGGACGGGUGAGUAACACGUGGAUAACCUACCUAUAAGACUGGGAUAACUUCGGGAAACCGGAGCUAAUACCGGAUAAUAUUUUGAACCGCAUGGUUCAAAAGUGAAAGACGGUCUUGCUGUCACUUAUCGAUGGAUCCGCGCUGCAUUAGCUAGUUGGUAAGGUAACGGCUUACCGAGGCAACGAUGCAUAGCCGACCUGAGAGGGUGAUCGGCCACACUGGAACUGAGACACGGUCCAGACUCCUACGGGAGGCAGCAGUAGGGAAUCUUCCGCAAUGGGCGAAAGCCUGACGGAGCAACGCCGCGUGAGUGAUGAAGGUCUUCGGAUCGUAAAACUCUGUUAUUAGGGAAGAACAUAUGUGUAAGUAACUGUGCACAUCUUGACGGUACCUAAUCAGAAAGCCACGGCUAACUACGUG
rnacentral:rRNA from 1 species